rnacentral:rRNA from 1 species
UACGGAGGGUGCGAACGUUAAUCGGAAUCACUGGGCGUAAAGCGCGCGUAGGUGGCUUCGUAAGUCCGUUGUGAAAGUCAAAGGCUCAACCUUUGAAUGCCGAUGGAUACUGCGAAGCUAGAGUACGGAAGAGGCGAGUGGAAUUCCUGGUGUAGCGGUGGAAUGCGCAGAUAUCAGGAGGAACACCAAUAGCGAAGGCAG